rnacentral:lncRNA from 1 species
CUGCUCAAGAUGGUGGCGUCCCGGGCAAUUGGCAGUCUCAGUCGCUUCUCUGCCUUCAGGAUCCUGCGCUCCAGAGCCUAGGUCCUUGUGCAUGCUGGGCAAACUGUCUACCACUAAGCGAUUUUCAAAUCCGCAUCUAUAUCCCUGAAUAAAUGCCACAUCUUCAGCUACCCUGGAAUGCAAGCUCCACCAAGAAAGAGACUUUUUAUUUUACUUGUUACCCCAACGUCCUAGAAGAUUGCACAACCCACCAGGUUGCUGUAAAAAAAAGUUUGUUGAGAAAUGACUGAAAUUUUAUUGGAAGGGAUUAAUUAUAACUGUUUGCAAAUGCAGAAAUAAACACAAAUAA